UAAGUUUCAUGGUAGUUAAGUUUCAUGGUGAUAUUUGUUUUUUAACCUAUCACCUGUAAUCUCUAACCUUUCCAUCAAAUGUAUUUUGUGUUCUGUGUGGAAAUAUUUUGAUAUCGAGAAUGGCAAAUGAAGUAGGGACUUUUAUUGUGACGAGUAUCAUCCAAUAACUCGUCUGUGACAUCUACCAUCUUUCUUUUAGCUGACUACAACUGUCGAGAUUUUGGAUUCCUUUUUGAGCAAGUUAAUUGAAGAUGCCGCGUCCAAGCAAGCGGUCCAGGGUGGCCAAGAAGAGAGAGGCUGACUUGAGGUCCACUGAGGUGCCGAGCAAGAGGUCCCCGGUGGCACAGGUUGACUUGGUC